rnacentral:rRNA from 1 species
CAGUAGCCACGGUAAUACGUAGGUGGCAAGCGUUGUCCGGAAUUAUUGGGCGUAAAGGGCUCGCAGGCGGUUUCUUAAGUCUGAUGUGAAAGCCCCCGGCUCAACCGGGGGGGGUCAUUGGAAACUGGGAAACUUGAGUGCAGAAGAGGAGAGUGGAAUUCCACGUGUAGCGGUGAAAUGCGUAGAGAUGUGGAGGAACACCAGUGGCGAAGGCGACUCUCUGGUCUGUAACUGACGCUGAGGAGCGAAAGCGUGGGGAGCAAACAGGAUUAGAUACCCGAGUAGUCCCUGUCUCUUAUAC